rnacentral:rRNA from 1 species
UACGCAGGGGGCUAGCGUUGCUCGGAAUCACUGGGCGUAAAGGGUGCGUAGGCGGGUUCUUAAGUCCGAGGUGAAAUCCUGGAGCUCAACUCCAGAACUGCCUUUGAUACUGAGAGUCUUGAGUUCGGGAGAGGUGAGUGGAACUGCGAGUGUAGAGGUGAAAUUCGUAGAUAUUCGCAAGAACACCAGUGGCGAAGGCGGCUCACUGGCCCGAUACUGACGCUGAGGCACGAAAGCGUGGGGAGCAAACAGG